UCCCAGCUGUGGCUCCUCCUGACUCCUUGUGCACCCCUAGCCUAGAAGAGCAGAAAAGGUCUUGGCUCUGUCUUUAGAAGUCACGAUCACAGACAUACUGUAUGGUAAUAAGCUGCUGCGGAUUUUGACUGGUGCAACAUACAAUCAUCUCAAAGAGGUCUACUGUUCUGGUUGAGUGAGAUUCAGGCAGAAAAGCUUCAAAAAUGAUCAAGUGUAAAUAUGCUUAUUUUUGGUUUGCACAGGAGGAAGAACUCAACUUUCUGUUAAGCUUUAAAAUUUGUUCCUUCUGCU